UCAGGUUCUUCCCAUUCUGGAGUAAGAGGAUGUUGCUCUGUAAGGCUGUUGGGAAGGAGUCAAGAAGUUGCCAGGAGUUAAGGACUCAGGGAGGCAUUUGGACCAGGGGACCUCCAAGUUCAAGUUCCCUUUUACAUCAGCAUAUUGGACACCAAGCAGCUGGGCUCUCAAAUGACCAGCUUACUCUACUGGUGUUCCCAAGCACCAAGAUAACCUUUCCUGUCUCCUGACUUCAUGAGGGAGCCCAGGUCUUCCUACCUGACAUACAUUCCUACAAGUCACAUCAAGAUAACCUGUUGAAAUGAAGAAUAGUGAUGCUUAUCAUUUGGCUAUUUAUCCAGAAGGAAGAUGAGGUCUUCAGUCCAUCUAUUCUUCCUUAUAAAGAAAAGUUCACAUGGGACUGUAAUUACAUGUAUGUUACAAAUUCGGUAUUAAAAGAAAGAAGAAAACUAUAUUGUAGUAAGGUUGGUUUCUUUCAGCUGGAUCCAAUCUGCUUUGCAAAAUUCUUCCAAGCAAGAACAACAUCUUGCUCACACUUACCUAUAGGACACCUCAAGGUAUACUCCUUGUGAAAGAAAAUUGCUUUCUGGAGGUGUCCUCUAUGCUGAUGGAGGGUACAGCCUGGGAAACAUGGAAAAAGCAAAGAAGUUGACAAUGUCAAGGACAUAACAAUGCCUCAGACGUUUUCUCAGAGUCUCAUUAGGUUGUUCAAG
rnacentral:lncRNA from 10 species